AUGUCAAAAACAAACAAACCAAGUCUGGGUCUCGCUCUUCUCGCUCAAGAUCUGCAUCCAGAUCUCGGUCUCGUUUGCUUUCAAAGUCUCGGUCCCAAAGCUGAUCUGUCUCUCGUUCAAGGAAGCGCGGGCUGAAUUCUAGGUCUCAUUCCAGAUCAUAUUCUCCAGCUCAUAACAGAGAAAGGAAUCACCCCAGAGUGUAUCAGAAUCGAGAUUUCUGAGGUCACAACAGAGGCUACAGGAGGCCCUAUUACUUCCGUGGGCGAAACCGAGGCUUUUAUCCAUGGGGCCAGUAUAACCGAGGUGGCUAUGGAAACUACCGUUCCAAUUGGCAGAACUACUGGCAAGCAUACAGCCCUCAUCAGGGCCAUUCUCAACCCCGGUCCCCAAAGAGAAGGUCCCCUUCACCACGGUCCAGGAGCCAUUCUAGGAACUCUGACAAAUCAUCCUCUGACAGGUCAAGAUGCUCCUCAUCCUCCCGGUCGUCCUCCAACCACAGCAGAGUUGAGUCAUCUAAGCGAAAGUCUACAAAAGAGAAAAAGUCCUUUUCCAAGGAUAGCCCGCCAUCUCAGGCAGCUGGUGAUAACCAGGGAGAUGAGGCUAAGGAGCAGACAUUCUCGGAGGCACCUCUCAAGAUAUAAAAGGGUCUGAGAGCCCAAAGCCAUGGCCAGAUGCCACCACCUAUGGCUCUGGUUCUGCAUCACGGGCCUCGGUUUCUGAUCUGAGUCCCUGGGAGAGAAGCCCAGCUCUCAAAAGCCCCCUUUGAGAGUCUGUGGUGGUUAGGCAAAGUUCACCACGCCCUAGCCCUGUGCCAAAACCCAGUCCUCCACUUUCUAAUGCAUCCCAGUUGGGCUCCUCUAUGUCAGGGGGUGCUGGGUAUCAGUCUGGAGCACACCAAGGCCAGUUCGACCAUGGCUUUGAGUCUUUGAGUCCAUCCAAAAAGAGCCCUGUGGGUAAGAGUCCACCAGCUACUGGCUCUGCAUAUGGCUCAUCUCAGAAAGAGGAGAGUGCUGCUUCGGGAGGGGCAGCAUAUUCAAAAAGGUAUCUGGAGGAGCAGAAGACAGAGAAUGGGAAGGAUAAGGAGCAGAAACAAACAAGUGCUGAUAAGGAGAAGCUGAAGGAGAAAGGGGGCUUCUCUGAUGCUGAUGUCAAAAUGAAAUCCGAUCCAUUUGCUCCCAAGACGGACUCUGAGAAGCCCUUCCGAGGCAACCAGUCGCCCAAAAGGGACUUCGGGAUGACUUUGAGAAAAAGAUGGCUGACUUCCACAAGGAGAUGGAUGAGCAUGAUAAGGACAAAAGUAAGGGAAGGAAGGAACCCGAGUUUGAUGAUGAGCCCAAAUUUAUGUCGAAAGUCAUAGCCGGUGCAAGCAAAAACCAGGAGGAAGAGAAGACAGGCAAGUGGGAGAGCCUGCACACAGGGAAGGAAAAGCAGAGGACGGCAGAGAAACUGGAGGAGGAGCCUUUCACGGAGAGAUCCCGAAAGGAGGAGCGUGGAGGGUCCAAGGGGAGCAAAAGUGGGCACAGGGGCUUUGUGCCAGAAAAGAAUUUCUGGGUGACUGCAUACAAGAUGGUCCAGGAGAAAAGUUCAUCCCCGCCCCCAAGGAAGACCUCUGAGAGCCGCGACGAGCUGGGAAACAAAGGAGACUUUUCCUCAGAGAAGUCUUCCUUUUCCAUUACUCGGGAGGCCCAGGUCAAUGUCCGGAUGGACUCCUUUGAUGAGGACCUUGCAUAGCCCAGUGGCUUUAUUGGCUCAGGAAUGAAAGAUUUGUCCGGAUCUAGUCCACAGCAACAAAAAGGAGCAGGAAUUCCGUUCCAUUUUCCAGCACCUACAGUCAGCUCAGUCUCAGCAUAGCCCCUCAGAAUUGUUUGCCCAGCACAUAGUGACCAUUGUUCAUCAUGUUAAAGAGCAUCACUUUGGAUCCUUGGGAAUGACAUUGCAUGAACGCUUUACUAGAUACCUAAAGAGAGGAAAUGAACAGGAAGCAGCUAAAAAUAAGAAAAGCCCAGAGAUACACAGGAGGAUAGGCAUUUCCCCCAGUACAUUCAGAAAGCGUGGUUUGACUCAUGAGGAAUUGAAAAGUCCACGGGAACCUGGCUACAGGGCUGAGGGAAAAUACAAAGAUGAUCCUGUUGAUCUUCGCCUUGAUAUUGAAUGUCGUAAAAAACAUAAGGAGAGAGCUCUUAAGCGAGGUAAAUCAAGAGAGUCAGUGGAUUCCAGAGACUCUAGCCACUCAAGAGAAAGAUCGACUGAAAAGACAGAGAAAACCCACAAAGGAUCAUAG
rnacentral:lncRNA from 1 species